CGUUUUGCAAGUUAUUUUCUCUCUCCUCCUUCAUCAUCAUUGUUGAAGAAACCCAUGAAUUUCCCUCAAUUGCAGCUAUUCUCUCUCAUCUCCUUUUGGAUUUCCAGCAAAACCUACGAUUCUCCCCCUCUUUCUCUCAAAACCCUAAAAUCAAUCGGCGAUCAACGUAUCAAAGAUCAGCAUUUCACAAAAACCGAUUUCUUAGACGCCGAAAUCCUGUUUUUGCAAUCCUUGAGUUUUGAGGUCGGAAUCAUGAAGAAUUCGGUGUUUUUGGUGAUUGAAGAAUUGAUGAUGAAGCUUAAAGAGGUGGCUAGGGUUGGUGAGAUGGUGAGCAUCGAGGUUUGUUGUGAUGUCAUAGAUUAAAUGUACGAGAACGAUGAGAUUUCGCGGAUGAGAAUUCGGUGUUUUUGGAUGAGGUUUGUUUCUUCUUCUUUUGCAGCAUAAGAACAAAUCUUGAUGUGGUACUUUUAGGAAAUUUUGGCUUGCGUUACUUUAAUGAGUUAAAAUGUUGUUUGGACAAGGAAACGAUAGAAGAAAAAGAUUUCGAUCUGUAUCACACAGUUCAAAUUUCUUUUAUUGUUCAAAUCCCUCACAUUCUCUCUCUGAAAUUUCGACUCAAGGGCUUCACUUAGAUGAAGAUUAAAUCGGCGAUAUUCAAUUAUUCAUCAUCAAAUUGUUGAUAUUAGAAAUGGUUCAGGGAGCAUGCACCCAGUUCCAAGUACCUCCUUGCUCCCUCAAAGCAUCCGGUCUGCUCCAUCCAAAAUCCAAACCGGUCACGGGUCUAGCAGUUCAACAUGUGUCAACAAUAAUGGAAGUCAAUCACUUAGCAGUAAUGGAUCUAUUCUAGAGAAUGGUACACAUGCUAAUGGGUUGCUUGAGAACGAGAAGAAAAAAGAAAAUGGCAGGUUGUUUGGGAGAUUGACUGAAGCAGACAUGUACGAGAGCACCCGAUAUGAUGCAAUCCUACUAAAAGAGGAUCUGAAGAACACUACAUGGCUGCAUAGCGUGGAUAAUAUGUCUGAUCAGUGUUCCAUUUUUGAAAAUGGGUUUGAGCCUCUGCCAUAAUUAUUUGGCCUCUCAUGAUUCGUUCUUCGUUUUCGUAUUUUACAUAUAUCCGAUCUUUCAAAUUGAUUAUAUCAAAAGUUAUCUGAUUAUCUCUGCGUGAUCGAAUGUCUCAUUUUUGUUUGGAGAAGAACUGAAUGUUUGUUAAUUAAUUGUUUUGCAAGGAAAUGUCUAGGCUUCCCAUGUUCCCGAGUCUUGAUGUAAUUGAUAAGUACAUUAUAACUUAAUGCCCUAGAUACUCCAGGCAAUAGUCAUAUAGUUCUGUACAUUUGAUUCAUUUCGCAAUGAUAUAUAUUGAUGAUUAUGUGUUAUCAUUUAA